GGCCUCAGUUAAGGGAUCAUGUGCCACAUGCAGGGAUCUGAGGACAAUAUGAUAGCCAUGGUUGGUCCAUGUAUCAUCCAUCACAUUGCCAGUGGUUGAAAGAACUGCUUCGUACAGUUGGGUCUGUUUAGUUUGGAGAUAAUUCCAGAAGCUUUGAGUGGUUGCAUAGUCAUCAUAUAUGAUGCGUUGGUUUGAAAUAUUGGCUGAAACAUGGAUGGCAUGGUAAAGAGGGAACUGAAGGAAACACAGCUACCACUAAGUGCUAGUUUUGGCAAACAUUCACAUCUUUGGACCACUAACCUGUGGAGCACCUUUCAAGGACUAUUUUCAUGUUAGGUAACAUGGUUUGUAUGUUAUGGUUUGCAUUCAUUUUCUCAAGAUAAAAGGACUGGCUGUGGCAUAAUAACAUUGUCAAACUUUCAUCCUAAAUAGGACACUUCUUGAUCAAUGUUACAGUGUGAUGGAUAAGGAAGUUAUCAACAUCAAAGGUCUAUCUUAUCUACAUGCUUCACCAUAUGAAGAAAUUAAGAAGCUUGAAUAUGCAAAUGCAAAUUUCUAAUUAUGUCGGAAUUAUUCCUUCUUUUUGUAUGUCAUUUAUCUCUUUUUGUUAACAGAAAUCAUAAUCUUUAUUUUUGUGAUGAAAAGUCACUUAUUGAUUUGUGGUGAA